AUAGUCCUGAUGUGUUCGUUGUACACCUAGUUUUGACCUAACAUUUUUUUUUAUGGGAGCUUGCGUUUCCUCGGAAAGUAAACGCCUCUAAUUUCGGAUUACGAGGACUUACAAACCGCGGAAUAAAGCACCCACCUGCUAAGGGCGGGCUCAAAACGAGGGAAACGGCGACGGCACGUUCGGGACUUCU
rnacentral:other from 1 species